GCCCCAGUGGCCUAAUGGAUAAGGCACUGGCCUCCUAAGCCAGUGAUUGUGGGUUUCAAGUCCCAUCUGGGGUG